CCUACGGGUGGCAGCAGUGAGGAAUAUUGGUCAAUGGACGAGAGUCUGAACCAGCCAAGUAGCGUGAAGGAUGACUGCCCUAUGGGUUGUAAACUUCUUUUAUAUGGGAAUAAAACGUUCCACGUGUGGGAUUUUGUAUGUACCAUAUGAAUAAGGAUAGGCUAACUCCGUGCCAGCAGCCGCGGUAAUACGGAGGAUCCGAGCGUUAUCCGGAUUUAUUGGGUUUAAAGGGAGCGUAGGGGGAUUGUUAAGUCAGUUGUGAAAGUUUGCGGCUCAACCGUAAAAUUGCAGUUGAAACUGGCAGUCUUGAGUACAGUAGAGGUAGGCGGAAUUCGUGGUGUAGCGGUGAAAUGCUUAGAUAUCACGAAGAACUCCGAUUGCGAAGGCAGUUCACUGGACUGCAACUGACACUGAGGCUCGAAAGUGUGGGUAUCAAACAGGAUUAGAUACCCUGGUAGUC
rnacentral:rRNA from 1 species